rnacentral:rRNA from 1 species
CCUACGGGAGGCAGCAGUGAGGAAUAUUGGUCAAUGGGCGCGAGCCUGAACCAGCCAAGUCGCGUGAGGGAAGACGGUCCUAUGGAUUGUAAACCUCUUUUGUCGGGGAGCAAAAGACGCCACGCGUGGCGUUCCGUGAGUACCCGAACAAAAAGCAUCGGCAAACUCCGUGCCAGCAGCCGCGGUAAUACGGAGGAUGAGGGCGUUACCCGGAUUUAUUGGGGUUAAAGGGGUCGCAGGGGGAAUAUCAAGGCAGCGGUAAAAUUUGGAGGCUCAACCUCGUCGAGCCGUUGAAACUGGUUUGCUUGAGUAGGCGAGGAGUAGGCGGAAUGCGUGGUGUAGCGGUGAAAUGCAUAGAUAUUACGAAGAACUCCGGUUGCGAAGGCAGCAUACCGGCGCUCAACUGACGCUCAUGCACGAAAGUGUGGGGAUCGAACAGGAUUAGAUACCCUAGUAGUC